rnacentral:tRNA from 2 species
GGUCCGGUAGUUCAGUUGGUUAGAAUGCCUGCCUGUCACGCAGGAGGUCGCGGGUUCGAGUCCCGUUCGGACCGCCA